GACGAACGCUGGCGGCGUGCSUAACACAUGCAAGUCGAACGGAGAAUWUUAAUAAGCUUGCUUAGAGGAAUUUUUAGUGGCGGACGGGUGAGUAACGCGUGGGUAACSUACCCAUAAACUCGGGACAACCCUUGGAAACGAGGGCUAAUACCGAAUAAGCUUCAGGCUUGGCAUCAAGCUUAAAGAAAAGGUGGCCUCUGAAAAUGCUACCGAUUAUGGAUGGACCCGCGUCUGAUUAGCUAGUYGGUGGGGUAAAGGCCUACCAAGGCGACGAUCAGUAGCCGGCCUGAGAGGGUGAACGGCCACACUGGGACUGAGACACGGCCCAGACUCCUACGGGAGGCAGCAGUGGGGAAUCUUCCGCAAUGGACGAAAGUCUGACGGAGCAACGCCGCGUGUAUGAUGAAGGUCUUCGGAUUGUAAAGUACUGUCUUUGGGGAAGAAUGAUUGGUUUGAAAAUAUUGAGCCAAUAUGACGGUACCCAAGGAGGAAGCCCCGGCUAACUACGUGCCAGCAGCCGCGGUAAUACGUAGGGGGCAAGCGUUGUCCGGAAUUAUUGGGCGUAAAGGGCGCGUANGCGGAUGUUUAAGU
rnacentral:rRNA from 1 species